rnacentral:rRNA from 1 species
GAUGAACGCUGGCGGCGUGCCUAAUACAUGCCAGUCGAGCGAACAGACGAGGAGCUUGCUCCUCUGACGUUAGCGGCGGACGGGUGAGUAACACGUGGAUAACCUACCUAUAAGACUGGGAUAACUUCGGGAAACCGGAGCUAAUACCGGAUAAUAUAUUGAACCGCAUGGUUCAAUAGUGAAAGACGGUUUUGCUGUCACUUAUAGAUGGAUCCGCGCCGCAUUAGCUAGUUGGUAAGGUAACGGCUUACCAAGGCAACGAUGCGUAGCCAACCUGAGGGGGUGAUCGGCCACACUGGAACUGAGACACGGUCCAGACUCCUACGGGAGGCAGCAGUAGGGAAUAUUCCGCAAUGGGCGAAAGCCUGACGGAGCAACGCCGCGUGAGUGAUGAAGGUCUUCGGAUCGUAAAACUCUGUUAUUAGGGAAGAACAAAUGUGUAAGUAACUAUGCACGUCUUGACGGUACCUAAUCAGAAAGCAACGGCUAACUACGUG